rnacentral:rRNA from 1 species
UCGGGAAUAUUGCACAAUGGAGGGAACUCUGAUGCAGCGACGCCGCGUGAACGAAGAAGGCUUUCGAGUCGUAAAGUUCUUUUAUAUGGGAAGAUAAUGACGGUACCAUAAGAAAAAGCCCCGGCUAACUACGUGCCAGCAGCCGCGGUAAUACGUAGGGGGCUAGCGUUGUCCGGAUUUAUUGGGCGUAAAGCGAGCGCAGGCGGUUAGAAAAGUCUGAAGUGAAAGGCAGUGGCUCAACCAUUGUAGGCUUUGGAAACUGUUUAACUUGAGUGCAGAAGGGGAGAGUGGAAUUCCAUGUGUAGCGGUGAAAUGCGUAGAUAUAUGGAGGAACACCGGUGGCGAAAGCGGCUCUCUGGUCUGUAACUGACGCUGAGGCUCGAAAGCGUGGGGAGCGAACAGG